rnacentral:rRNA from 1 species
GAUGAACGCUGGCGGCGUGCCUAAUACAUGCAAGUCGAGCGAACAGACGAGGAGCUUGCUCCUCUGACGUUAGCGGCGGACGGGUGAGUAACACGUGGAUAACCUACCUAUAAGACUGGGAUAACUUCGGGAAACCGGAGCUAAUACCGGAUAAUAUAUUGAACCGCAUGGUUCAAUAGUGACAGACGGUUUUGCUGUCACUUAUAGAUGGUUCCGCGCCGCAUUAGCUAGUUGGUAAGGUAACGGCUUACCAAGGCGACGAUGCGUAGCCGACCUGAGAGGGUGAUCGGCCACACUGGAACUGAGACACGGUCCAGACUCCUACGGGAGGCAGCAGUAGGGAAUCUUCCGCAAUGGGCGAAAGCCUGACGGAGCAACGCCGCGUGAGUGAUGAAGGUCUUCGGAUCGUAAAACUCUGUUAUUAGGGAAGAACAAAUGUGUAAGUAACUAUGCACGUCUUGACGGUACCUAAUCAGAAAGCCACGGCUAACUACGUG